GACGAACGCUGGCGGCGUGCUUAACACAUGCAAGUCGAACGGAAAGGCCCUUCGGGGUACUCGAGUGGCGAACGGGCGAGUAACACGUGGGUGAUCUGCCCUGCACUUUGGGAUAAGCCUGGGAAACUGGGUCUAAUACCGAAUAGGACCACGCGCUUCAUGGUGUGUGGUGGAAAGCUUUUGCGGUGUGGGAUGGGCCCGCGGCCUAUCAGCUUGUUGGUGGGGUAAUGGCCUACCAAGGCGACGACGGGUAGCCGGCCUGAGAGGGUGACCGGCCACACUGGGACUGAGAUACGGCCCAGACUCCUACGGGAGGCAGCAGUGGGGAAUAUUGCACAAUGGGCGCAAGCCUGAUGCAGCGACGCCGCGUGAGGGAUGAUGGCCUUCGGGUUGUAAACCUCUUUCAAUAGGGACGAAGCGCAAGUGACGGUACCUAUAGAAGAAGCACCGGCCAACUACGUG
rnacentral:rRNA from 1 species